rnacentral:rRNA from 1 species
GACAGAGGUGCCGAGCGUUAGGCGGAAUCACUGGGCUUAAAGCGUGUGUAGGCGGGCGGGCAAGUACCUUGUGAAAGUCCCAACGGCUCAACCGUGGAACGGCUGGGUAUACUGCCUGUCUUGAGCCAACUAGGGGCGAGCGGAACAGACGGUGGGAGCGGUGAAAUGCGUAGAUAUCGUCUGGAACGCCAAAGGUGAAAACAGCUCGCUGGGGUUGUGACUGACGCUGGAGACACGAAAGCCAGGGGAGCGAACGGG